GGGUCGAGUCAAGAGAUGGAUCAAGUUUAGGGUGGGUGGGUCCUACAUAAAAUAAGUUUGAAAAAAUGUAUUUUCAGCUAAAAUAACCAUGUAAGCUAACAAGUCAAAGGUGUAACUUUUGGAUGACAAGAUAAAACAGAGGGACUAUGGUAAUCAUUUAUCAUAAGUUGAGUGACCAUCUAGAUCACGAACUCUUAGUUUAAAUUUAACCAUUAUCUGAUUCAUGUAAUCUUAG
rnacentral:lncRNA from 1 species